rnacentral:lncRNA from 1 species
AAACUAUGAGACGUGACAUUUUGAUCUUAAAAUAUUAAUUUGUUACAUUUUCUGGCACAAACUCUAAAAAUUAUUACAAUCAAAUCCCACAAUCCAAUUUAAUUGACUAAAUAUUGAUUCAUUGCUGAUAUAAAAAAAAUACCACAUCUUAAUUUUUGGCGUAUCACUAAUCACAAUACUAUUACAUCAUUUCCACAUUGAUAAUAUAUCAAUAUUUGGUCAAUUAAAUUAGGUUAUAAGAUUUGAUUGCAAUAAUUCUGAAAGUUCGAGCCACGUAUUC